UCCUACGGGGCGCAGCAGUGGGGAAUAUUCCGCAAUGGGCGCAAGCCUGACGGAGCAACGCCGCGUGAAUGAAGAAGGUUUUCGGAUUGUAAAGUUCUGUCAUUAGGGACGAAGGACCUGUGCGAAUAGUGCAGGGAAUGACGGUACCUAAGGAGGAAGCUCCGGCUAACUACGUGCCAGCAGCCGCGGUAAUACGUAGGGAGCAAGCGUUGUCCGGAAUUACUGGGCGUAAAGGGCGCGUAGGCGGAUUGUUAAGUCAGAUGUGAAAUCUCCGGGCUCAACCCGGCGCGUGCAUUUGAAACUGG
rnacentral:rRNA from 1 species